UUUCUCCAUCUCCCUUCCAUGAAUCCUAAUUUUAGAGCCCUCUCCUUCUUCCUAUGACUCAUCUCCUUGCUCUCUUCUCCCAUUAAGAGUUCUUCCUCUUUGUCUUUCGAGAUUGAAUGCUAGGGUUUAUAAAGUCAGUGGUGAGUAGUUUUGGUACUUCACCGAAAGUUUCCUCCCCUUCAAGCUAAGUAUUGAAAGCCCUUCUCCUUUUCUCGAUCCUCCCUCCCUCAUCGAUCUUUAGUCUCCUCUUCUUUUAUUCCUCUAUGAGUUGAAGCCAAGCGAUGGCGACGGUGCUAGUGGUGGAGGAAAUAGGGCAUGGAAAGAUCGAGAUCAAGCAGAUCAAGAAUUCCACCAACUGGAAGGUCACCUUCUCUAAGUGCCGCAAUGGGAUAAUUAAGUAGAUGAGAGAGAUCAACAUCCUCUAUGAAGAGCAGGUCUCCAUCAUCAUAUUCUCAAGCUCUGGCAAGAUGUCUGAGUACUGCAACCCCUCCACAAUCUUGCCGAAGGUUUUGGAGAGGUACCAGAUGAACUUCGACAAAAAUAUCUGGGAUGCAAAGCAUUGGUAACAUUGCCACAAAAUAAAGAAAGAAAAAGAUAUUGCUUUGUUUCUUUUCGUUUGUUUCAAAAGGCUCCUUUUUAUCCAUAAAUGGAAAUGAUAAGGCUAAGAUUUUUUUUUUUUUUUUCUGAUUUUUAAAGCAAAUCAUGGAGAUUCUAAUUCUUUGAUUUUUUUUUUCUUUUUGUCAUCUCAUUCUUAUAAAACCUUAUUUUCCUUUAUUUUCAAAAGACUCUUUUACAAAGUUUGAGUGUUGAAAUUGAACGAGUAAAGAAAGAGAACAACAACAUGCAGAUUGAACUAAAGUUUAUUGUGCUAAUUUAUUGUUUGAUUUAUAUUAUUCACUGCAUCACUAAUUUGGUGAAGUUUUGUUGUAUUAUGAUGACUUUGUUUUGUGGAAUUAUUAGGCAUCUUAAGGGUGAGGAUCUGAACUCCCUUUACCCAGAAGAAUUAAUUCCAAUCGAAGAAGUCCUUUAGAUUGGUCUUACAAGUGUAAGGGAGAAGCGAGUGAGAAAUUUGUUUGAUAAAUUUUUUAUUGUUAGUGUAACUGUGAUAAUCUGUGUUGUUGUUGAAUCCUUAGUCAUCAAUUUUGUUCCCCCUACUGGAUGGAGAUUUAGAAGAUGCACAAAAAGAAUGAAAAGUUACUUGAGGUGGAGAACAAGCAACUGACUUAUAUGCUGGUAAUCUUCUUAUCAGAUGAUCUUUACAGCUCGGGUGUGUUUCACAGCUUCAAAUGUUAUACCUAUUUCUUGAUUUACAAAAUUUGAUAGUUGUCGGAUCAAUUAUUAUGGCAAUACUCUAUUAUGACUUUUCAUGUCUUAGUAGAGGAAUAUUAAUAAUGGGACAUAUUUAAUCCAAAGUAACUUGCAGAUACAGGGACAUGCCCUUUUAUCAUUCUCUUGGACACAUUUGAGGCAAUAUUUAGCCUCUUUAGCAAGUCUUCUCUAGCAGUUAACCUAAUGGAAUUUAGAUAUCUACAUGGUCAUCUCUAGCUAAGCUUAAGUUAGGCGAUUCUUCUGCUAAUAUCUAGUUAUAAGAGAUUUCCAUUUUAUUUAUCACUUUUUGUUAGACAUUUUAAUUACUUCAUAAUGUUUCUAUUAACACUUGGUCCUUGCAAGUUUAGCACCAUCAACAAAUGGCAAUAAUGGACGGAAGCACUUUUUAGGUAAUUAAAAAAUAUAGAGCGCCCAUUGAAAACAAACAUUGAAGAAUUUGAAAAAAAAAAUUAACUGAUUUUGAAAAGAAACUUUAGAUGGCAGUAUUACCGUAUUUAUAAAUUAAUUUUGGAAGUGCAUUGUUUUGAAUAAAAGCUCCAAGGACAUGAAUUUUAUCGAACACUUUAAUUAGGGGGCGGAUCCUCUGAUCCGCAAAGGCUGAAUCAAUUCAUGAUCCAACCUUUACAUUGGUGGAGGACAAUGGACCCCCACCUGUUAACAGAUGGAGGCCAUUGCCUCCCACCAAUCCUCUUGCCCCGAUCCAAGAGUGGACCAGGACAAGGGGAUCAGAGGAUCCGGUCCCCUUUAAUUACCUCUCAAGGUGCUUUGACCGUUAAAAACCAACAAAAUGCGCUUUGACCCUAAGAUUCUCUAGAGAAGCACUCUUGAACCUAGGCUAAGCUAUUCCAAUUUCGUAUCCUCUUUUUCCUCUCUAUUAAGGCUGCAUUGCUUGCUUAAGUUCUGAAUAGUAAAUUUCAAAUUUUCUUUUGGCAGUUACAGAUACCAUUGUGCAACUACUAUCUUUAGUUUCACAAAUCAAUAAAUUUAUUUUGGCUCUUUAACAAGGACUCAAAUGUUUCACAAAUCAGUAAGAUUAUUUUGUUGUGGUAUUCUCUACCACCUCUUUUACAAGGAAGGAUUAUUUCCAGUUUUACUUCAUAAAACUAUCCUUCAUCCUCUACCAAAUCUAUCAAACAUUGAAAGGAGCUAUUUUUGUCCUUCUACUCCUUUAACUUCCGUUGGCUUGUUUUAGGCGGUGGUCAAAUCUCUUUGACUUAAAGUAGCCUUUUGCCAGUUUGUUGGAAGACCAAAAGGUCAAGCCACGACAAGUGGUAAUUUUUUGUUUUAUGUUUUAUUUUAUUAUCUCCUUCGCGAGAUUGCUUAAAUUGCUACUCUUUAUAACUAAAGCAAUAUUUGAAUCUUCAGUGAAUUGAUGUUGCUUAAUUCUCCUCUUUGACUUUAAAAGAGUAAAUUAGUUCUUUGUAUUGCAAAAGUCCUGUCUUCUUAGUUUUGAUGGAGAAAAAUUGACCCAUUCCCUUUAAAGAUUGCACAUCAAAAGCAUUUCAAACAAUCUGAUACAAACUAGUGUUCUAGCUAUAACUAAUUCUUCUCUAGUUGAAUUGUUAAAAAAAAGGAUGUCAUCUGAUAGUUCGUUAAAUACUGACUUAUCAGAAAAGAUACUCGUCUUGGUCUGAGACUUUGGGUUGUGGUUGGCAUCUGCCUGGGUGUUCUAAUUGUGUUUAUUCUGGUCAUUUUAUCUAUAUGGAUCACAUCCAAGAGGAAGACAAAGAUGUUAGUUAGAGUCCUAGAACCAAUCAUUUGAUGAUUGUUGUAUGGACUCAUUGUAUUAUAUUUCUUAUAUAUAUAAAGACAUUUGUUUUGGUUAUUAUACUUACUUGUAUUGGUGUCAAAUA